GGAUCAGUAGGUCGUGCCACAGGUAUGCACUGGUCUCACUGGUUCCUCCUUCCUGCUGAACCGUAAUGCCAUUAAUUUGGUGUUGCGGGGAAACUGGACUGUUACUUUGAAAAAUUAGAGUGUUUAGAGCGGGCUAACGCUUGAAUACAUUAGCAUGGAAUAAUGAAAUAGGACGCUCGAUCCUAUUUUGUUGGUUUCUAGGAUUGACGUAAUGAUUAAU
rnacentral:rRNA from 1 species